GAAACAAAUAAAAAAAACCCUUAUUUCCCCCUUUAACCCUAACAUCACCCACCGUACUGUACAUCAUCGCCAUCCAUCAGCAACCUUCAUCCUUUCUCAACCGGCUAUCGUCUUCCACCACCGCCUCCGUCACCCCGUCGCACCCUCACCACUCCGAAUUACCACCGCCGCAUCGCCUCCACCAACAACCGCCGGUCUCGUCAGCGUCAAACACCCCGCCACCGGUUCCAACCAACAACAACGCCAUCUCCGUCGCUGCCUUCCACCACACCAUCAUUCACUGCAGCAUCAGGGUUGUGCAUAUCACGACCACUUUGAGGUAUGUUACUUGAUUUGUGAGAACACCAGGUAUGUUGCUUCAUAAUCGUGUUACGGAUUAAUCAAUUAAUGGAGCCAUAUAUAGUCAUUUGUGGUGAGCUUGCCGAUCAGCAGGCAAUGCUUCGUCUCAUGUAUGCUCGUCAGCGUGAGAUGGGUCGCACCAUCGUCUCUCUCCGUGAUCACAGAGAUCGACUUAGAUGUCCGCCACCUUCGUAGAUGCCUUCCACAUAUUCCUCCGAGCCUCGAGGACGAUGCUAUAUCUUAAGCUUGGGGAGGUUAAGGUUAGAGAUGCAGAGUGAUCGCGAGUGACAAAGAUGGAUCUUUAAAAGGGUAGGAAUCGCGAAUGAUAAAAGAGAUUAGGACAUGUGAAUGUUCAAGUUAUAUGAUAAAAAAAUGAUUGUUGGUGGCUUGAAAGGAUGGAAUGGAAACAGUUGAUGAUGAUGUAAAAAUUAGAUGGAGUUUUCUUCAUCAUACGUGUGACAACCCUCAAAAUUCCAUGUAUUCCGUACAAUUUGUUAUUAAUAAUGAAAGUGCUUGACGACUGUGUGGAAU
rnacentral:lncRNA from 1 species